AGAGCUCUCAUUUCCCCCCCUUGCUCGGGAUGGUGCCACAGGAGGCUGUGCGGGCCCCGCUCCGCUUCGAAUGGCUGGUCCUAUAGUACCCCUCCUCAGGAAUGUCUCCCCAGUGCAAGGACAAAGACUGAAGAGACUGCUAUAUUGAUGGACUCUCAAGCCAACUAUGAAGUUGAAACAAAGAAAGUGAUCACCUGAAGACACCUCCUCUGCUAAGAAACACCCCCAAAUUGUGCAGCUUCUGCCACUAGAACUCUCAGAACAAGAGACAAUCUUUUCAAGAAACAGAAAAACUCAAUAAUGACAUCUAGAUUUUCAUGAGCCAAGAACUUUCCUUUCCUCAUGUGUAUUCCUCUGUUUGUACUUAAAUUCAUGUGACAUUCAUUUUUUUCCUAGUAUGGAUAUGCUUAUUAAUGCACUUGUUUCAAAAUCCCAAAUUGCACAAAUGUGUUAAUAUUUUAAGAAACAAAAUGAAUCCUACAAGGAGAAUGAUGUUUAGCCACACAUAGGGUUGGAUCUUAAGAGUGACCUACAGAAUAAAAGUACUUUUAAAAUAAAGUAGUCAGAGGCUAUUCAAAGGGUAAAAUAAUCAUAGUACCACAUUGGUCCACUUGACACUAACCAAUCGAUCAUUUUUUUUAAAUCAAGAAAGCUAGAUUCUAUCAGAUAAAAUCACUGCUUCUAAAGAGUUUAAAUCUAGUUAGAAAAAGUUAUAGAAAUGUUUUCAAAGAUAAGUAACAGAUAGAGUCAGUAGAGGAUAAGAUCAAAAACAAAACCAAGCAAAAGAUGAGUUCAGGGGAGUUUGCCAUCAAGUUGGCAAAACUGACUUACUUAGGGAAGAAAGUUAUAAAAGAGGAAAAUAUGAGAUGAACCUUGAGUGAUGUCAAAGAUUUAGAUAAAUGGAAAGGAAGGAGAAAAUGGAGUUCUUUAGGUGGUUGUAAUUGGAGGAGGAAAUGAAUACACACAUCUUGUUGACUUAAACCCAGACAUUCAGCAGCUCUCUAUACAUAUCUGGAAAAGACUUUGCACAGUCACCUCCUGUCUCUCACCCCAGGUAUUACUUAGAAUUAUUAUCAUAUUUCCCUUCCUUUAAAGUAAGUAAGGGUGAUUGGUGACAAUAUGGAGAACUAUGAUUUUUCCAUUAACCUAAUAAUAAUUGGUAUUUAUUGAGUUCUGUUAAGCAUGUUACAUAUUAACUCACUUAAGCCUUUCAACAGCCUUGCAAAAUAGGUAUUAUUAUUCCCAUUGUACAGGCAAGAAAACUGAGGUUUAAGUAACUUGCCGAAGUGCCAUUUACAGGGCUCACCUUCAGUAUUGCAGUUGCAAAGCUCAUGAUCUAUAGUGCCAAGUUGCAAUAUUGUAGUCAAUGUCACAAUUAUUACCCCUUUUUAUAUUCCUUGAUAUUUUUCCAUGGCAAACAAUUAGCUAUUUUAUUUAAUAAUCACCUAAAACUUUUCAGUCUUCUGAUUAAAAUUACACUGGAGUGAUAGAAUGUAUUUUCAUGAUAGAAACUGGGAAAAAAAUGGGGAAUGAAGUUUAUCAGCAUUUCAGACUUUUUUUUUUUUUUUGCAAGACUUUGAUGAGAUUGUUCACUUUUGUCUACGUAAAAUCCCAAAUCCUUGAGAAUAAAAAAGGGGGAGGUUUAAGUCACUUGUUGCAAUGCCCUUUUUAAUAGAGGCAAUAAAUCUAAAGGCCAUAAAUUUAGAGUGACUUACAGAAGAUCGAACUUUGGAGUGUGGCAGAGUAAGGGCUGGAAACCAGGCCCUCCAGUUCACUAUCAGUAGCUCUUGCACUGGUCUGCCCUUCCUAAAUUAAGUAUGCACUUCAAUUUGAUGAGUGGAAACAGUCUAUCUGGGCAGUAACCAGGGAGCUUUGUGCCUAGUAGAUUGCUUCUGUUCUGCACUUCUUUGGUUUCCCACCUCAAUGUAAAAAAUAGCUAGCAAUGAAGUCCAGAAGUUGUCAAUGGUUCAUCCCCAGAAGAAUGCAUAAUGUCCAAAGUGGUAUGUGUAUGAUGUCUUCAAUGGUAUUAAGUUAUUUCAAAUUCUUAGUUCACCUACAUAAAUCAUUUCUAACAAGCAUCUUCUUAACCAACUUUAUGCAUAGUGUAUGUUUGUAAGUGCUUCUGCACGAAUGUUUAUACAUGACUGUUUCCAUAGUACUUAUGUUUUUAAAAAUAUUCAGUCAUUUCCUAUUAUAAUCCUCAUGUAUCCAUGUAACUGACUCAAAAAUACUUCAGCCAUAGAAAGCUAAAACUGAGCAAAUCUCAUUCUCUUUUCCAUCCCCUUUGCAUGUGGCUGGCAUUUAGUAAUGAUUAAUAAUAUGGCCAGCUGAAUAACAGAGAUUCGAGACACAAUUCUUUCUCAAAGGAGUCAGCUAAGCUGGGUCUACUUAUGGACAAACAUCUAAAUGUGUGGAAGUAUCUGAUAUUUGACAACGGUAAAUUUCCACUUAGCUAGCUAGCAUUGUCAGACUUCAAUCUCCUCAUGGCUCUGGCCGUCCUGUUUUCAGCAUGAUAAUUGUUGGCCACAUCUCACAUAGUUCUCAUUGAGUGAGUUCAUAAAUAAACAGGGUUUUUUUUUUUUAAGAGCAGCCAAGCACAAAGUGUGACUUUGUUGACAUUUUAUGUGACUUUGUCAUAUGUUCCUAACCCCCAAUAAAAGCAAUGCUGCAUCAA
rnacentral:lncRNA from 1 species